rnacentral:lncRNA from 11 species
GUGAGUUGGCAGAUGGGAACAACUGUUACUACAGGAAAAGUCUCAGACUCCUUUAUUUUAAAAUAUUAUUAUUAAUAAUAAACCAGUAAAGGAAACAAUUCUUUUCUGUAAAAGACAUUUAUAUAUAUAUUUUAAAAAAUCAAGAUGUUAUUUAAGAUACAACUUUUUGCAGUGUUUUGGGGAACAUAUGGUCACCAGCUCCUUCCUAGGAUUGAAGAAUGUGGAGUCACAUGUUCACAGGGAUUUCUUUGCAAAAUUCAACCUGCUUCUAGUAUUUUGAAUAGUUUCUGCCAUGAUGCUCCUGCCUCUUUGCCUCCGAUUCCCCUGAGAGGCAUGAAGCUUGAGACUGUCAUGAAUUGUGCUGAACAAAUUGACUGUUCACUUCACUUAAGUGUUAAGGGAACACUGCAUCUUGAUGGUAAGUCAAAACUCUCUGUGGGAUGUGAAUAAUGACAAAGGACAACAGCUCAUA